GGGGGACAGUUCAGUGGCAGAGCACUUGCCUGGCAUGCAUGAGACCCUGGGUUCCAUCCCCCAAAUCCCCCC
rnacentral:tRNA from 1 species